UUCCGAAGCUUUUUAUUUGGCUCUUCAGUUCUUACACUUACUACUGUUCGUUGAGAGAGAUGGCGAAGACAAGGGCAUGGGUGGCUUUGUUGUUUUGCUUGGCGGUGCUGUGGCCGGGGAUGUGUUGGUGCUGGGGACAGAACGCCAUGGAUGAUGCGAAGGAGAGGAUGAAGGCGGCGGCAGAGAGUUCCAGCGUGAAAGCGGAGGAGGCCAAACAAGGCGCUGCCGAGGCCAUGCACGAUUCCAAAGACAAGAUGGAUUCCUGGGUCGAUUGGGCUUAUGACAAGUUCAAUGAGGGAUUUGGACUUGGACAGAACAAUGCAAAAGAGGAUGUUCAAAAUACGAUGGAUAAAGCUGGGUAUGCUGCAUGGAGAGCCACGGAGACAAUGAGUUCUGCAGGAUCUGAUGCACCAAAGUAUGCUUCCAAGAUGGCGGGUGAUGCAAAACACUUCGUCUCUGAGGAAGCCGAUCAAACUAUAAGAAUGGCUACAGACAAGGUUGGUGAGGCGGGCGAGACAAUAGCAGGAGCGAUGGAAUAUGGGAAAAACAAAGGAGCUGAUGCUUACGAGGACGCUAGCGCGACACUGAACAUGGCUACAGAAACGGCUUCCAAUAGAGCUGGGGAUGCUCAAGAGAAGAUUUCAGAAGCAAUGGGGUAUGCAAAAGAUAAAGCAGCAGAUGGCUAUGAUGGAGCUAAGCAGAAAAUGAAUGUAGCUUCAAACAUGGCCUGGGAUAAGGCCCAGGAUGGGGGAGAGAUGAUGGAAGAAGCAAUGGGAUACGAAAAGGAGAAUGCAGCCUAUGCGUAUGACAAAGCAAAGCAUCGUGUGGAGGACUUGUACAUGACAGCGAAGGAGACAAUGACAGAACAUGCCAAGACUAAUUACAAGGCUGCAAAGGAGAAGGCUUCGCAGGCUGCAGGCGAUGUCGGGGCUAAGAUGAGGAACGUUAAGGGAGAGCUAUGAAGGGAGGGAAUGAUCAUGAUGUACCACUUUUACCAAGUUAUAAUCUUCUUGAUCAAGCCAUCUAUAUAGCAAUAUUGAGCCAUUAAUGCCAGCUCUAGUCCAUUAAGAAGGGACGCUUCCAUCUUCUGAGAACUCUUUUUACGUGGUAUUGGUAUCUUUCGUACAAGAUUGCGUCUAGCAAAUUCCGGCCACUUUUUUCUGCUACCAUGAAUCCUCGCCUCAAUAUCGAUGUUUCACAAAGGGUCCAGCUGCUAUAUAUAUAUAUUUUGCACGCUAAAGACUAGGACUGUUUAGAUCCUUUCCAAUCCCAUAUAUAGUACUACUGCAUGCUAGUAAUGUUGCAAGUCUUUCUCUCAGUUUUCCAAUUCCAUUGUGAUUUCUUGUGAGAAUGCCAACAUUUUUUUACAUCAAAAUUUGGAAAGUUAAAGAUCUGCAGAUUAGACACUUGAACUUGCAUUAGGACUCAUGGCAUCUUUUUCCUUUUCUUUUUUUCCUCCGAAAAGGAUUUCUAAAUUUAUGUGAAAACCGGCCUCUUCAUCCAGGUCAUGAAUUAUAUAUAUUUAGAAUCAACCUAAAUUAUAACCCUAUUUUUAAUUCGGAAUAUCUUCCAGCAAAAUUCCCUAUAUGACUCCUCCAUUGAUGUUUUAUACGGCCUGGCCAUGGGUAAUAAAGGCGUUUGCCGUACGAACCUUUGUUCAGAUUGGCAGACGUGAUCUUUGCCUCUCCACGUGCAACAGUAAAUACAUGACAGAUAAAACUCAUCUAGUUUUGAUACUGAACCACAACCCACAAUAGGAGUCGGAUGGUAAUUAAUUAACACAAAUUCUCAAACAUGGUAAAAGAGAACUAUAUCGAGUGUCGGUGUUUAUUGAAGUACAGUUCAGUGAACAUGUGACACAUUCAGUCCCGUCUGAUUUCUGAGAAAAAUAGAAGUAGCAUAUAUAGGGUUUCAUGGAACCAAAGCAAUUACUUUACUAAAGAGUUAAAGAAGGAAAUCAUGAGAUAGUAAUUAAGAACUACUUACGAAUGUUAAAGAGAGAAUUUUUAUUACAGAUUAAACAUAAACUUGUUUUUUUUUUUUUUUCCUCUUUUGAUGAAUGAACAUGUUAGUUCAUAUUCACAUGUUCAUUCAUCCAACAAAACCAAAAGCUGUUUCAUUUUUCUAUCUUUACCCUUUUUCCCUGAUUUGCCUUGAUCCGUGAAAACUUGAUCUAGCUAGCUAUUUUUGGAAUAAAGAAGAUGAGAGACAGAAUAUUUUCAGUAGAAAGAUAAUAAACAUGGGCGUACCAAUUAUUGAGAGAAUAUUUAUGACUACCAAGAGUCACCGAAUUAGAAGAAGAUUUAUAGAUUGAUUGAGGUUAAUUUAUAGCAUCACUGCGAAUUGCACCAAAAAAAAGGUUAUUGCUGAUACAGUAGUGGGUGGGUAAUCUAACUCCUCCAUUUGAUCUGUACCUCUGUGCAUAUCUAAUCUAAUCAUUCACCGAAUAUAUGCAUUUGCUGAUCAGUAAAAGUAAUCUCAAGGGUUUGAAAAAUUUGAUUUGCCUUACAUUUGCUUCUUCUUCAGGGCUUGUUUAUUGUUGUGCAUCCAUACCUUGAAAACUUUCCUCUUUACACCCACUUCUGAACAGAACUGCUGGACUUCUUGGUCGUCAUGUUUCUGGAUCUUCCACCCCAACUUCUCAGCAAAUUCCAUCAUCUUAUCCUUCUGUUCCUGAGUAAAUUUUGUCCGAAACCUCCUUUUGGAUUGCGGCGCUUGUACUGAAGUUUGCAUACCAACAUUAGACCGAAACAUAUUGAGAUCUUCGCUCGAAGACUCGGCUGCCGCUCCAAAGCCGCCUCCAAAGGCCAUCAUCACCGGUGCGGUGGCUCCCGUCAAAGGAGCUGUGGAUAGAACAUGCGGGAAUUUCUGGUGAUGGUGAUAUACAUGAGCCGAGGGAGGAGGGAGUGGAGGAUGAUGUUGAGAAGGUAUCAUUUCUCUUUGGCCAUUGUUUAUGCUGGGGUUCGGGUAGUAACAAUUGGAAACAUAUUUUGAAUCACCCUCGACUUCUUUCCGAUGGAAAUUCCGGUGGCAUUCACAAGCUGCACACUGUAAGGCCUCCGGGGUGCCUUCCUCCCCGCUUGACAUGAAUUCUCCGCAGCCAUCCACAACGUGCCCGCCCGUGCUGGCCACGUGGUUCUUCAUACAUUCUCUAUAUCUCACCUUUGGUGCAGCCCUAAUGGUAGAGAUGCUUCGUGGUGGUUGUGGGAGUGGUGAUUUUAAUGUUGAUGCACCAGUUCUGGUUGGUGUGCUUAUUGCACCUGUGGCUGCAAGCUGAGCUGGGACUGGAUCUGGAUUUGGGUCUGGAUCUCUUCUGGGUUUGUGUGCAUCUUGGUGUGGAUGUGGAUCUGACUGAUGAGGAGGAGGAGGAGGAGGAUGAUGAUGAUAAACAGGAUGAUGAUCUAGGGCUUGAGCUGGGUUAACGAUCGUGUUACCAUGAACAGUUUGAUCCCUUCGUCUUUCUCCCACAGCUGAAGCUACAAGUGGAGAAGACAGCUUGUUGGUGGUUGACUCUCUGUGGGAUGGAUCAUAGCUCAAGGUGCUCGGCAUCCCCAUCUCUUUAUCUUGGCCUCUCAGUUCCAUUUUAAAUCUGAUUCUGAUGUGAAUCCUUGAUCUAAGCCUUGAUCUCAGUCUCCCUUUUUGUUUUGAAAAUAAUAAAAAUGACUCUCAAAACA